GGCCGAGGCUCCCCCUUGCCAAUGUGGUGAGGUGGAGGGGUGUACUUUCCUUCCUUUAUCAGCUUAUCCCGCUGCUUCCUGAUGGUACCUGCACGUCUCAUCGUUUUCUGCCGAAGCAAACACUCUACGAAAUCAUCAUAUUCUAUCUUGCACUCUUUCUCUGCCCGAGUAUAACCGAUUCCAUGUGCACAUUCUAUCCAUUCUUUUUCAAAAGCAUGGCAUCGACCAGCCAUCUUGUAGGGCUGUUCACCACUCUGGAUUGUCAACCAUCGAUCUAUGUUAAGGCCGAACCUUUUCUGGAUGUCCAAGAAAGGCAUGGCCGAUGCUCGUGCCCUUGACUCUUCUCUGGCCGCCGCUUCAGAACGACUAGCUAGCGACGCGGACGCCUGCCGUAAAGGAUGACCUCAGCGAGACGUUUGCAGCGC
rnacentral:lncRNA from 1 species